AUUGAACGCUGGCGGCAUGCCUUACACAUGCAAGUCGAACGGCAGCACGGGGCAACCUGGUGGCGAGUGGCGAACGGGUGAGUAAUGCAUCGGAACGUACCUUUCAGUGGGGGAUAACGUAGCGAAAGUUACGCUAAUACCGCAUAUUCUGUGAGCAGGAAAGCAGGGGGUCGCAAGACCUUGCGCUGAUUGAGCGGCCGAUGUCAGAUUAGCUAGUUGGUGAGGUAAAGGCUCACCAAGGCGACGAUCUGUAGCGGGUCUGAGAGGAUGAUCCGACACACUGGAACUGAGACACGGUCCAGACGCCUACGGGAGGCAGCAGUGGGGAGUUUUGGACAAUGGGGGCAACCCUGAUCCAGCCAUGCCGCGUGAGUGAAGAAGGCCUUCGGGUUGUAAAGCUCUUUCGGCCGGGAAGAAAUCGCACGGGCUAAUACCCUGUGUGGAUGACGGUACCGGGAUAAGAAGCACCGGCUAACUACGUGCCAGCCGCCGCGGUAA
rnacentral:rRNA from 1 species